rnacentral:miRNA from 14 species
UUUUUUUUGGUGUGUUUUGUGCAUUUUCUGAAACAGGAUAUCUCUGUGACUCCCGGCUGGCCUUGAACUCUCUAUGUAGCUCAGGCUAGCCUCAAACUCAUGGCACUCCUCCUACCUCAAUCUC